rnacentral:lncRNA from 7 species
UUCAAGAGGCAGUCAACCUACAGAAGAGCAUCUGCUGGACCCUGAGUGGGGAACAGACAGGCGGAACCCUUGCAAAUGUAAAAGCCAGGAGUGGGUCAGACCCCAGAUGAAUGAGGUGGAUGCAAAGGAGACUUAGAUAACUCGAAGCAGAGAAUGCUACACAGGUGUCUCUGGAUGAAGGCCAGUCACUGUGGUGAACUUGCCUCUCCUGUCAUGGUUCCAGAGGUCUGGCCAGGAGGCUGAGCCACAUGCCAAGCUGGUGAUAACUACAGCUUAUGAUACAGAGACAGCCUGGGGAAGAAGCAUGGGGCCUUGAAACACAGAUGUUUGCGUGGAGGAUGCCAGGUGUGGAAAGGCAGGGGAAGGAGUGGCUUGCCAAUCCUGGGGGUCAAGAGUGAAGAGGAUGUAACAAGAACACGUCAUUGUGUUGCAAGAAAAAAUACAAAGGCUUUUCAUCAGGAAUGCAGGAAUGUUUGCCAUCAGCUGCUAGCCCACCUGGCUCUUCAAGAAGCGAUGAAUUUUUGGUAUUUCUAUAAAUUUGAAGUGGUCAAAUGAUGGUUGGUUGGUUGGUUGAUUUCUUUUCAAGUUUUAUUCUGGAAUAACAGCAAUUGUGCAGCAAUUGCUGCUUUUUCGCUGGGUACUUGAACACCAGCUCUGUGAUGUAGGAAGCAGAGAUGCUUGGGUAGCCUUCGUAUUCAUACACUACUGAUGCACUUUUUUGGUUUAAUAACUCACGUUCCUCCAACACAGCCAUUUCCUCAGCAGCAGCUAAAAAGCUAAUCUGGUGGCCAGACUGACCAAUGUAAGACAGAUUUCUGAGGCUCAGUAGCAGAAGUCAAAACUGUUUGUAAUUUAGGAGUGAGACUAAUGCAUUUCUUCAGUAUUGCCUGCAGGUCAGCCAUUACCUGCUAAUAAAUAGGUAAUAAAUAAUCAC